GACGAACGCUGGCGGCGUGCUUAACACAUGCAAGUCGAACGGUAAGGCCCUUCGGGGUACACGAGUGGCGAACGGGUGAGUAACACGUGGGUGAUCUGCCCUGCACUUCGGGAUAAGCCUGGGAAACUGGGGCUAAUACCGGGUAGGACCACUGCCUGCAUGGGUGGGGGUGGACAGCGUUUGCGGUGUGGGAUGGGCCCGCGGGCGAUCAGCUUGUUGGUGGGGUGAUGGCAUACGAAGGCCACGACGGGUAGCCGGCCUGAGAGGGUGACCGGCCACACUGGGACUGAGAUACGGCCCAGACUCCUACGGGAGGAAGCAGUGGGGAAUAUUGCACAAUGGGCGCAAGCCUGAUGCAGCGACGCCGCGUGAGGGAUGGCGGCCUUCGGGUUGUAAACCUCUUUCAGCACCGACGAAGCGCAAGUGACGGUAGGUGCAGAAGAAGGACCGGCCAACUACGUGCCAGCCGCCGCCGUAA
rnacentral:rRNA from 1 species